rnacentral:lncRNA from 1 species
CGCCCUGACUCCCUGGACACCGUUCCCUUGGAGCCUCGGAGCCCCCCCUGGUGUCCCCUGGGUGAUGGUCCUGGACAAGAGGGCUGGGAAGAAGCGGGCAGCAAGGGGAGGAUUCUGCCCCAGACGUCCCCAGGCCGGGGGUCCCCAUGGGCUCUGCCCUGACGUCUUACUCCUGCACCCAGCGGCUCCCACCACAGAGACUGCUCCAGUUGCAGGUUAGACCCCACUUGCGGUUGUGUGUUCCAGAAGUCUCCGGGCGCUGUGUGGCAGGAUGAGGAGCUGCCCCCCUGGAGGAUCACGCAGGCCUCUGGGUGGCAUUCAGCAGGGUUGGCUGCGGCACCGGCUGACCACAGGGCCCACCUUUCCAGUCCCGGCAGGAGAGAAGCGUCUCAACCAUGUUGCAGGCACACGGGUGAGGGUGCUGCCUGCCUCCCUGACUCUUACCUCCCCAAGAGAGGAAAACAAAAGAAAAAAAGAUAAGACCAGGAAAUGGAAAUAAGACAAAGAAGAAUGAAAUUUUAAAAUCCGAACAAACCCAAACAUGCUGUUUCAAAACGUAAGUCCAUGAAGAGUCUCGUGGUGAGAAAGACAGAAUUCCUAGCCAGGAAAAUGCCCCGUGCUUGCCCCUUGGAGGCAGGUGCUCACCACGGCAGGGUCUAUCUAGGUGUUUAUUAAGGUGUCUCACCACGUAUCGCCCGGAUUCACCAGAGAUGCAGAGGCGGAGGAUACGUUCCUGUUUACAUUGAUACAUAGUUACAUAGGUGAAGAGCUUUACAGUGAGGAAGCGGCUCACGCGGCCAUGAGGGACCCAGGCAGGAGCUGCUGUUGCUGCCCCAGGUGCGAUUCCUUCCUCCUCAGGGAGGCUCAGCUCCCCGCUGCAGCCAGGUGGGCCCAGGCAGGCCUCCUUGGCCUACAGCGCAGACGGCCAAGUGCUGGUCACGGCCAUUGCAUCUACACCACCCCUUUCUCAGCAGCAACUCCACGAGUGCUCGAUGGGAAACUGCAGACAGCAGCCUUGCCAAGCGGAUGCCCAGGGCCGACCACCGCAGCCCCUCCAGCCACGUUCUCCAUCAGGGCAGCCUCCUGCUGGCUUCGGCACUGCAGGUAGCACACCAGCGAGGGGUGGGCCUGUGUGCCACGAAGCGUCAUCCAUGGACGUGCCACGAAGGGUUAUUCUUCUUUUGACUUUUUCUGAUGGUUUAAAACUGUAAGAACACACAGCUCACAGUCCACACGGAAGCAGGCAUGUGGCUCCUGCCUCACUGUGGGAGGAAAGAUGUUCUCAAAAGAAAUGGCUGGGUUUGCGGAGGGGUUUGUGGAGGGCCGGGCAGUCUGAACACAGCCCAGCUGGCCUUGGUGGAGGUGGGCCUGGCACAGGGGGGUGGGAGCAGUUCUUCCUGACGCAAAUCCUAACGCCUUCAACACUGACCUUCCAAAGAAACAGCUGCUGGACGCCGCCCGACAGCAACGAGAGCCCCACUCCUGAGGCGCGCGACUCUCGAGGGCUUUGUUGUUUAUUUGGCACCCGAGGCCCAGGCUCACAGGGUCUCGGGUGCAUGGGACCCCCCAGCCCUUCCCACUGCUCUGCGAUUCUUCCUCCCUUCUGGAAAGGUCAGUUUGGGGUUCUAUUCUGGGAGGGGCCAGGCCGCCACCUGGCCUCAUUAACUGGGCAGGCCACUGGGACCUCCUCCGAAAUGCUGGGGCCAUGGCCGAAGACUUGCCUCCCGCCAGGAGCCUUCAGCCCUCUUAGUAGUGGAUGUGGGCUUCCUCCCUCUGAGGGGACGUCCUGAUGGACACGAGAUGUGGGGCGCCCGUGGGUGGCCGCCUGCUCCUGCCACAGUCCCCCUUGGGGCCUGAGCUGCGGCUGCUGCCUCCGUAGGGAAGGAACAAUGGGGGAUGGGCCCGCCCCUACCCAGAGAGAGUGGGCCGUGUUGCCUGCAAGGCCUCAGCCAGGGGACCACGUUUCUCUGCAUCUUGUGGCUUUGGGUUCUGCAGGCUGUUUGUGGGAGAACGGGAAACAGUCCCAGAGAUGACGCUGCCUCAUGCAGGUUAACAGAGUUGGAGGUCAGGCCGACGCCUGAGGCUCAGGACGCUGAUGGGUGCCUUCCCUCGCCAGGGGUGAGCCCCCAGCCCCGUCUUCCCUCGCCAGGGUGAGCCCCUCCCCAGCCCCGAGUUUGGAGGGGCCGUGGCUGCCGGGGACUCGCGUGAGGAGCUUGCUGUAAAUACGGAGCUCUGGAGCAACAGUGGCCUCACGCCACUGGCAUCUCGGGCAGGACCUGCCUCUUUUUGGAACACUUUCGAGAUCUUUGCGUUUGUUCGUUUCCAGCCAUUUGGUGGAGACUCUGAGAGCCUGAACUUAGAAGCCCGCCGAGAGGGGAAAUGGCGGCCUCCGGGGAGCGGGCAGCCUGGCCGCAGAGCGCGCGGGACCCAGGGCCACCGUCCUCCCGAGACAGCGGCAGCAGCCGCCACUCACCGUGCGGAAUUAAAAACGGCUCUCUGGUUGCCACGGCAACCAGCCGUCUCCCCCCAGCGUCAGUUUGAAUUUGUGCAGACCAUUCCUAGCCAAGAUUCAAGCCAACAGAUUCGUGCUUACCCUGAGGUGAAGCCUCGUUUGAGAACCAAAUAAUAAAAUUAACAAACCUAAAA